GGAGAGAUGCUGAGUGGUUGAUAGCCCCGGUCUUGAAAAUCGGUAUAGUUUUGAAUAAAGAACUAUCUAGGGUUCGAAUCCCUCUCUCUCCU
rnacentral:tRNA from 1 species